rnacentral:rRNA from 1 species
GACGAACGCUGGCGGCGUGCCUAAUACAUGCAAGUAGAACGCAGUUGCGACCGGGUGAGUAACGCGUAGGUAACUGCCUGGUAGCGGGGGAUAACUAUUGGAAACGAUAGCUAAUACCGCAUACUAACAGAUGGACCGGCGUUGUAUUUGCUAGUUGGUGGGGUAACGGCUCACCAAGGCAACGAUACAUAGCCGACCUGAGAGGGUGAGCGGCCACACUGGGACUGAGACACGGCACAGACUCCGUCGGGAGGCAGCCGUAGGGAAUCUGCGGGAAUGGGGGGAAACCUGACCGAGCAACGCCGCGUGAGUGAAGAAGGGUGUCGGAUCGUGAAGCUCUGUUGUUAAGGAAGCGGUACUUAAACAGAAAGGGACGGCUAACUACGUGCCAGCAGCCGCGGUAAUUC